UACGGAGGGUGCAAGCGUUAUCCGGAUUCAUUGGGUUUAAAGGGAGCGUAGGUGGCCUUAUAAGUCAGUGGUGAAAUCUCUGGGCUUAACCCAGAAAUUGCCAUUGAUACUGUAGGGCUUGAGUACAGUUGCUGUGGGCGGAAUAUGACAUGUAGUGGUGAAAUACAUAGAGAUGUCAUAGAACACCGAUUGCGAAGGCAGCUCACAAAACUGUAACUGACACUGAGGCUCGAAAGUGCGGGGAUCGAAACAGG
rnacentral:rRNA from 1 species